AUUUGAUGUUGAGGACAUGAUGCAACGAGAGUCUUGAAACGCUCAUAAUACGUCAGAAAUGAUUCUCCUUGAUUUUGUUGAAUGCCACUAAUCCUUUUCCUUAAAAU